rnacentral:rRNA from 1 species
CAAAUUUGAAAUCUGGCCCCCAGGGCCCGAGUUGUAAUUUGCAGAGGAUGCUUUUGGCGCGGUGCCUUCCGAGUUCCCUGGAACGGGACGCCAUAGAGGGUGAGAGCCCCGUCUGGUCGGACGCCUAGCCUGUGUAAAGCUCCUUCGACGAGUCGAGUAGUUUGGGAAUGCUGCUCUAAAUGGGAGGUAUAUGUCUUCUAAAGCUAAAUACCGGCCAGAGACCGAUAGCGCACAAGUAGAGUGAUCGAAAGAUGAAAAGCACUUUGAAAAGAGGGUUAAAUAGUACGUGAAAUUGUUGAAAGGGAAGCGCUUGUGACCAGACUUGGGCCCGGUGGAUCAUCCAGCGUUCUCGCUGGUGCACUCCGCCGGGUUCAGGCCAGCAUCAGUUCGCCGCGGGGGAAAAAGGCUUCGGGAACGUGGCUCCUACGGGAGUGUUAUAGCCCGUUGCAUAAUACCCUGGGGCGGACUGAGGUUCGCGCUCCGCAAGGAUGCUGGCGUAAUGGUCAUCAGCGACCCGUCUUGAAACACGGACCAAGGAGAA